AAUGAACGUUGGCGGCGUGGAUUAGGCAUGCAAGUCGAGCGGGUGUAGCAAUACACCAGCGGCGAAAGGGACAGUAACACGUGGAUACCUACCCUCAGGACUGGGAUAGCUGCGGGAAACUGCAGGUAAUACCAGAUGAUAUCUCCGGAUCAAAGGUGUGAAUCCGCCGGCGGAUGGGUCCGCGUCCUAUCAGCUAGGUGGCGGGGUAAUGGCCCACCAAGGCAACGACGGGUAGCAGGUGUGAGAGCACGACCUGCGUCACUGGGACUGAGACACUGCCCAGACACCUACGGGUGGCUGCAGUCGAGAAUCUGCGGCAAUGAGCGCAAGCUUGACCGAGCGACGCCGCGUGCGGGAUGAAGGCCCUCGGGUUGUAAACCGCUGUCAGUGGGGAGGAAGGUCUGGUGAAGAGCCAGAUUUGACCUAUCCGCAGAGGAAGUGUGGGCUAAGUCCGUGCCAGCCGCCGCAGUAAGC
rnacentral:rRNA from 1 species